GGUCCCAUCGUCAAGCGGUCAAGACACUGCCCUUUCACGGCAGAAUCGUGGGUUCGAAUCCCGCUGGGAUCACCA
rnacentral:tRNA from 1 species